rnacentral:tRNA from 1 species
GCCGCGAUAGCUCAGUUGGUAGAGCGCACCCAUGGUAAGGGUGAGGUCCCGGGUUCGAUCCCCGGUCGUGGCUCCA